GAUGAACGCUGGCGGCGUGUCUAAGGCAUGCGAAGUCGAACGGACUGUUAUUUGUAGCAAUACUUAGAACAGUUAGUGGCAAACGGGUGCGUAACACAUUGGUAACCUGCCUCAAAGUCGGGCAUAAUCCCGCGAAAGUGGGACUAAUUCCACGAUGGUCAUCGAAGGUUGAGAUUCCUUCGAUGUAAAGUCGCAAGACGCUUUGAGAGGGGCCUAUGGCCUAUCAGCUUGUUGGUGAGGUAACGGCUCACCAAGGGCUAUGACGGGUAGGGGGUGUGAGAGCACGACCCCCCUCACUGGGACUGAGACACUGCCCAGACACCUACGGGUGGCUGCAGUCGAGAAUAUUCCCCAAUGGCCGAAAGGCUGAGGGAGCGACGCCGCGUGCAGGAUAAGGCCU
rnacentral:rRNA from 1 species